GAGUACCUACGGGAGGCAGCAGUGAGGAAUAUUGGUCAAUGGGCGAGAGCCUGAACCAGCCAAGUCGCGUGAGGGAGUACUGCCCUAUGGGUUGUAAACCUCUUUUGUCGGGGAGCAAAAGCCGGACGUGUCCGGCUGUGAGAGUACCCGAAGAAAAAGCAUCGGCUAACACCGUGCCAGCAGCCGCGGUAAUACGGAGGAUGCGAGCGUUAUCCGGAUUUAUUGGGUUUAAAGGGUGCGCAGGCGGAUUUUUAAGUCAGCGGUCAAAUCGUGGGGCUCAACCCCGUCCAGCCGUUGAAACUGGG
rnacentral:rRNA from 1 species